rnacentral:rRNA from 1 species
GGGGGGGGGGGGGGGGGGGCGGGGGGGGGGCGGGGCGGAGGGGGGGGGGCUGCUGGGGUGGGGUGCGCGGGGGGCGGGCGGGGGCGUGCCACGUGGGUAACCUGCCCUUUGCUUUGGGUGCCCUUCCGGAAGCUGGGGCUAUUCCCGGAUGGGUGCUCCCUCGGCGGGGUGUGCGUUUGAAAGUUGCGGCGGUUGGGGAUGGACUCGCGGCUUAUCCUCUAGUUGGUGGGGUAGUGGCUUACCAAGGCCUUGACGGGUAGCCGGCCUGAGAGGGGGACCGGCCACAUUGGGACUGAGAUACGGCCCAGACUCCUACGGGAGGCAGCAGUGGGGAAUAUUGCACAAUGGGCGGAAGCCUGAUGCAGCAACGCCGCGUGCGGGAUGACGGCCUUCGGGUUGUAAACCGCUUUCGCCUGUGACGAAGCGUGAGUGACGGUAAUGGGUAAAGAAGCACCGGCUAACUACGUG